AUGGUCUUAGCUUGCUAAGACUGAUGGCGACCGGCGCACGGGUGCGUAACGCGUAUGCGACUUGCCUCACAGAGGGGGAUAACCCGUCGAAAGACGGACUAAUACCGCGUACACUCCACCUUGGGCAUCCAAGGAGGAGGAAAUGAGAUUCGCUGUGAGAUAGGCAUGCGUCCCAUUAGCUUGUUGGUGAGGUAACGGCUCACCAAGGCGACGAUGGGUAGGGGAACUGAGAGGUUGAACCCCCACACUGGUACUGAGACACGGACCAGACUCCUACGGGAGGCAGCAGUGAGGAAUAUUGGUCAACGGGCGAGAGCCUGAACCAGCCAAGUCGCGUGAAGGAUGACUGUCUUAUGGAUUGUAAACUUCUUUUAUACGGGAAUAACAAGAGCCACGUGUGGCUCCCUGCAUGUACCGUAUGAAUAAGCAUCGGCUAACUCCGUGCCAGCAGCCGCGGUAAUACGGAGGAUGCGAGCGUUAUCCGGAUUUAUUGGGUUUAAAGGGUGCGUAGGCGGCCUGUUAAGUCAGCGGUGAAAUCUAGGAGCUUAACUCCUAAAUUGCCAUUGAAACUGGCGGGCUUGAGUGUAGAUGAGGUAGGCGGAAUGCGUGGUGUAGCGGUGGAAUGCAUAGAUAUCACGCAGAACUCCAAUUGCGAAGGCAGCUUACUAAGGUACAACUGACGCUGAAGCACGAAAGCGUGGGUAUCAAACAGGAUUAGAUACCCUGGUAGUCCACGCAGUAAACGAUGAUAACUGGGCGUAUGCGAUAUACGGUAUGCUCCUAAGCGAAAGCGUUAAGUUAUCCACCUAGGAGUACG
rnacentral:rRNA from 1 species